rnacentral:rRNA from 1 species
GGUGAACGCUAGCUACAGGCUUAACACAUGCAAGUCGAGGGGAAACGGCAUUAAGUGCUUGCACUUUUUGGACGUCGACCGGCGCACGGGUGAGUAACGCGUAUCCAACCUUCCCAUGACUAAGGGAUAACCUGCCGAAAGGCAGACUAAUACCUUAUGGUCUUCACUGACGGCAUCAGAUGUGAAGUAAAGAUUUAUCGGUUAUGGAUGGGGAUGCGUCUGAUUAGUUAGUUGGCGGGGUAACGGCCCACCAAGGCAACGAUCAGUAGGGGUUCUGAGAGGAGGGUCCCCCACAUUGGAACUGAGACACGGUCCAAACUCCUACGGGAGGCAGCAGUGAGGAAUAUUGGUCAAUGGGCGAGAGCCUGAACCAGCCAAGUAGCGUGCAGGAUGACGGCCCUAUGGGUUGUAAACUGCUUUUGUAUGGGGAUAAAGUCAAUCACGUGUGAUUGUUUGCAGGUACCAUACGAAUAAGGACCGGCUAAUUCCGUGCCAGCAGCCGCGGUAAUACGGAAGGUCCGGGCGUUAUCCGGAUUUAUUGGGUUUAAAGGGAGCGUAGGCUGGAGAUUAAGUGUGUUGUGAAAUGUAGACGCUCAACGUCUGACUUGCAGCGCAUACUGGUUUCCUCGAGUACGCACAACGUUGGCGGAAUUCGUCGUGUAGCGGUGAAAUGCUUAGAUAUGACGAAGAACUCCGAUUGCGAAGGCAGCUGACGGGAGCGCAACUGACGCUGAAGCUCGAAGGUGCGGGUAUCGAACAGG